AGCAGCCGCGGUAAUUCCAGCUCCAAUAGCGUAUAUUAAAGUUGUUGCAGUUAAAAAGCUCGUAGUUGAAUUUCGGGGUUAGUAAGUUGGUCAUGCCUUCGGUAUGUACUGGCUUUACUGAUUCCUCCUUCUUGACGAACCGUGAUGUCAUUAAUUUGGUGUUGCGGGAAAUCAGGACUGUUACUUUGAAAAAAUUAGAGUGUUUAAAGCAGGCUAACGCUUGAAUACAUUAGCAUGGAAUAAUGAAAUAGGACGUUAAUCCUAUUUUGUUGGUUUCUAGGAUCGACGUAAUGAUUAAUAGGGAUAGUUGGGGGCAUUAGUAUUCAAUUGUCAGAGGUGAAAUUCUUGGAUUUAUUGAAGACUAACUACUGCGAAAGCAUUUGCCAAGGAUGUUUUCAUUAAUCAAGAACGAAAGUUAGGGGAUCGAAGACGAUCAGAUACCGUCGUAGUCUUAACCAUAAACUAUGCCGACUAGGGAUCGGAUGAUGUUAAUUUUUAAUGACUCAUUCGGCGCCUUACG
rnacentral:rRNA from 1 species